rnacentral:lncRNA from 1 species
GUCUCUUUGACCAGGCUAGAGCGCCAGCGCUCCUCUGACCCGGCACACUUUGGCAAAGUUGCAGUGGCCUGUUUGCUUAGGCACUGAAGUGGAUGACCCAAGUUAGGAUGACAACUUGCAGAGAACGCGGAUGAGACCUUCAGUUUGUGCCCACACUCAUUUGCAGCAACCCUAACAGAGAUUGCGAAGAUUUUCAAAGUGGGGCACCUCGAUUUCUCGAAUCUGUGGUGUGGCGAAUAUCCGUGUUCCUCCUGCUUAACUAGCCUGUUUGGUCUGAUUCUAUUUAUUCUAAAGACAGAGUUGGAGAUGGGCUACCAUUGGUGUUGAUUGAGAUGACAAGCAGUCACCUGAGCCCAUACAGCUGGGUUCACAGAUGUGGCUAGUCUUGCUAGCCAGCUCGCACUGUGGACAUUCUAGGGAACUGACUGCAGUCCUCAUGCUUGGAGUCAAACACUUUAACCACUGCACACGUUUAUGUAAUAGGAUUGACAUAUGAGAAUCAGAGAAAUGAAUGAAAGAUUAGAGUGGGAGAAAGUGCUUGCUGCCAAGCUUGAUGACCUAAAUUGAAUACCUGGAACCUACACGACAGAAAGAGAGAGCUGACUGCUGAAAGAUGUCCUCAGAUCUUCACAUGUGCACAGUGGCACCUAUCCAACCAUGCACAUAGUAUAUUAAAAAUUAUUUUUUAAAAAAUCCA